rnacentral:rRNA from 1 species
GAUGAACGCUGGCGGCGUGCCUAAUACAUGCAAGUCGAGCGAACAGAUGAGGAGCUUGCUCCUCUGACGUUAGCGGCGGACGGGUGAGUAACACGUGGAUAACCUACCUAUAAGACUGGGAUAACUUCGGGAAACCGGAGCUAAUACCGGAUAAUAUAUUGAACCGCAGGGUUCAAUAGUGAGAGACGGCUUUGCUGUCACUUAUAGAUGGAUCCGCGCCGCAUUGGCGAGUUGGUAAGGUACCGGCGUACCAAGGCAACGAUGCGUAGCCGACCUGAGGGGGGGAUGCGCCACAGGGGAGCUGAGACACGGUCCAGGCUCCUACGGGAGGCAGCAGUAGGGAAUCUUGCGCAAUGGGCGAAAGCCUGACGGAGCAACGCCGCGUGAGUGAUGAAGGGCUUCGGAUCGUAAAACGGUGUUAUAGGGAAGAACAAAUGUGUAAGUAACUAUGCACGUCUUGACGGUACCUAAUCAGAAAGCCACGGCUAACUACGUG